rnacentral:tRNA from 1 species
GGCGCUAUAGUGUAGUGGUUAUCACUCGAGAUUCUGAGACAUGGUGGCCUCGUUUUCUCGAAACCCAGGUUCGAUCCCUGGUAGCGCCU